UACGGAGGGGGCAAGCGUUGUCCGGAAUUAUUGGGCGUAAAGCGCGCGCAGGCGGUCUUUUAAGUCUGAUGUGAAAGCCCCCGGCUCAACCGGGGAGGGUCAUUGGAAACUGGGAGACUUGAGUACAGAUGAGGAGAGUGGAAUUCCACGUGUAGCGGUGAAAUGCGUAGAUAUGUGGAGGAAAACCAGUGGCGAAGGCGCCUCUCUGGUCUGUAACUGACGCUGAGGCGCGAAAGAGGGGUGAGCAAACAGG
rnacentral:misc_RNA from 1 species